ACUAUUAUAAUAUUAAUAAAUGCAAUAUCUUAUUUUGUGUUCAACAUAACAAAACAGCUCUGCUUUGGAACAUGUCAAGAAUGGGUAAAUAUUGAAUGGAUAAAAUAUUUUCAUUUUUGGGUGAACUUUUAGGUAGCCUCACCUUUGGAUGAAAUUCAAAAAACAUGUAUAUUUAUUAAAACGGUCGUUUUCCGUCGUAAAACGAAUCAAAGAAAUAUAGCCUAUUGUUAUUUAGUUAAAAUGGUUUUCUCUUAUAGAUUUAUAUUUAUUACUGAAUGUUGACAAAGCAGUUUAGUUCUCCACGUAUAGCCUGUAUCAAAUCAAGGCAGUGGUGAUACCCAAGCGCGCUGGUUACACCCGGCUGAGGAAGACUGAUUUACGGUCAUUUAUUUGCAGAAACCUUAAGCCUAUUUUAACAGAGAUGCCGAAUGCGGUGACUGAGGCGAUGAUUGAGUCGUAUGCGCUGAUGUUUUUGGUGAUGUCAGCGUUUUUCGUGUACUUUUGCGGCAUGGUCUGGGCUUUCUGCAACCCGAAACUCAGCGGCUCCUCUGAAGACCCAGAGUGCGACACGAGCAGCGUCUCUCAAGUCCCUCUGCAACAAAUCUUCGCGGAUCCUGAAGAUCUGGAGACAAGUUAUCCGACACACACUCGACGUUUAAUGGAUCAGCCGAGGCACAGUUACAUCGCCUCGUCAUAUAUUGUGGAUUAACACUAUGAAAAUUGAAGAAAACAUCACAAACUCCAGUUAUUCAUAGGGAACGCAGAGAACUCCGCUUCAAGACACAGGUAAAUAUAUCAAGCUUCGCCAUCAUCACUGCAAACCAUCAAUACCUGCAAUCCUCCAACUCAGAAUUCAUUUACGGAACAUUAAAAUACUAACACAGUUCUUCGUUUCGGAUCUGUAAGAGCUUUAAUGCAGUUUAAUAAAUGUGUUACAACUGCACUUUGUUGUAAUUUGAAUAUGAACACCCAUAAACAAUGUAGCU